ACUGCUCAGUAACACGUAGUCAAUCUACCCUAUGGACGGGAAUAACCUCGGGAAACUGAGAAUAAUGCCCGAUAGAACAUUAUGCCUGGAAUGGUUUAUGUUUCAAAUGAUUUAUCGCCAUAGGAUGGGACUGCGGCCUAUCAGUUUGUUGGUGAGGUAAUGGCCCACCAAGACUAUUACAGGUACGGGCUCUGAGAGGAGUAGCCCGGAGAUGGGUACUGAGACACGGACCCAGGCCCUAUGGGGCGCAGCAGGCGAGAAAACUUUGCAAUGUGCGAAAGCACGACAAGGUUAAUCCGAGUGGUUUCUGCUAAAGAAACCUUUUGUCAGUCCUAGAAACACUAACGAAUAAGGGGUGGGCAAGUUCUGGUGUCAGCCGCCGCGGUAAAACCAGCACCUCAAGUGGUCAGGAUGAUUAUUGGGCCUAAAGCAUCCGUAGCCCGUUUUGUAAGUUUUCGGUUAAAUCCAUGCGCUUAACGUAUGGGCUGCCGGGAAUACUGCAUAACUAGGAAGUGGGAGAGGUAGACGGUACUCGGUAGGAAGGGGUAAAAUCCUUUGAUCUAUUGAUGACCACCUGUGGCGAAGGCGGUCUACCAGAACACGUUCGACGGUGAGGGAUGAAAGCUGGGGGAGCAAACCGGAUUAGAUACCCGGGUAGUCCCAGCUGUAAACUAUGCAAACUCAGUGAUGCAUUGGCUUAUGGCCAAUGCAGUGCUGCAGGGAAGCCGUUAAGUUUGCCGCCUGGGAAGUACGUACGCAAGUAUGAAACUUAAAGGAAUUGGCGGGGGAGCAC
rnacentral:rRNA from 1 species